GUGGUGUUUUGUAAGUUAUUGAUUUUAAACGACUCUUAAUCCAUAGGUCUAGGGUUCGAAUCCCUAACACCCCACCA
rnacentral:tRNA from 1 species